AUUGAACGCUGGCGGCAGGCUUAACACAUGCAAGUCGAACGAGUGGCGGACGGGUGAGUAAUGCGUGGGAAUCUGGCUUAUGGAGGGGGAUAACGACGGGAAACUGUCGCUAAUACCGCGUACCAUCGGAUGUGCCCCGAGGGGAUUAGGUUGUUGGUGGGGUAGUGGCUCACCAAGCCGACGGUCCCUAGCUGGUCUGAGAGGAUGACCAGCCACACCGGAACUGAGACACGGCCCAGACUCCGACGGGAGGCAGCAGUGGGGAAUAUUGCGCAAUGGGCGCAAUCCUGAUGCAGCCAUGCCGCGUGUAUGAAGAAGGCCUUCGGGUUGUAAAGUUCUUUCAGCGAGGAGGCGUUAAUCGCAGAAGAAGCACCGGCUAACUCCGUGCCAGCAGCCGCGGUAAUAC
rnacentral:rRNA from 1 species